CGCUGUUGUCAGCCUGCUGUGGCAGAGACAUUUCAUUAGGUCUCAUUAUUCUUUCAAAAUACUUUUUUUCCACCGCCUUCCUUUACCUAAAACGCUCCUUACUCUCUUGUGCACCACGAAAAACAGCGUGCGGUAAUCGCUGCACACCUCAUCGCGCUCGUUCGGUUCCCAGCUUUAAUCAGGAUUAGGUCUCAGUUUCGCCUUCAGGUUUCAAACUGCUCCCUUUGCAGCCUGCCUCCAAAACCCCUCUCUGAUCCCUGAAAAGCAAAGGAGAAAACUCGAUCCGGAGAAAACCAUGAGCACCGCAUCUUCCCGGCCCUUUCCUCACCUAGACAAAAUCACGACGGGAACGACACACGAGGGGCAGAAAACCCGCAGAAACCCGCCGAGCAAUCUGGGCUCCAGAGGGUGGUUUCAGGAGCCUAGAGGUGCGGGGUGCCGCUGCCGAGAGCCUCCCUGCUGCCGUCCCACCCUGAGCGCUCCGCUGUUUCCCGGAGUGUGUGUCUGACCCUCCAGCCCGCACCCCCUCUCCAAGAUGAAAA
rnacentral:lncRNA from 1 species